AGAGUUUGAUCCUGGCUCAGGGUUAACGCUGGCGGCGCGCAUAACACAUGCAAGUCGAGCGAGGGCUCUUCUCCCGCAAGGGAGGGGAGUUCCUAGCGGCGAACGGGUGAGUAACACGUGGGCAACCUUUCCUAUCGCGGGGGAUAACAGCGGGAAACCGCUGCUAAUACCGCAUGUCGUCAUCGGUCGCAUGGCCGGUGAAAAAAGCAGCAAUGCACGAUGGGGUGGGCCCGCGGCCUAUCAGCUAGUCGGUGGGGUAACGGCCUACCGAGGCGAUGACGGGUAGCUGGUCUGAGAGGACGACCAGCCACACGGGGACUGAGACACGGCCCCGACUCCUACGGGAGGCAGCAGUGAGGAAUCUUCCGCAAUGGGCGAAAGCCUGACGGAGCGACGCCGCGUGUGGGAUGAAGUCCUUCGGGAUGUAAACCACUGUUGGAGGGGAAGACUUCGACGGUACCCUCCGAGAAAGCCCCGGCUAACUACGUGCCAGCAGCCGC
rnacentral:rRNA from 1 species